GUGCCAGCCGUCCGCGGUAAUACGUAGGUGGCAAGCGUUAUCCGGAAUUAUUGGGCGUAAAGGCGCGCGUAGCGGUUUUUUAAGUCUGAUGUGAAAGCCCACGGCUCAACCGUGGAGGGUCAUUGGAAACUGGAAAACUUGAGUGCAGAAGAGGAAAGUGGAAUUCCAUGUGUAGCGGUGAAAUGCGCAGAGAUAUGGAGGAACACCAGUGGCGAAGGCGACUUUCUGGUCUGUAACUGACGCUGAUGUGCGAAAGCGUGGGGAUCAAACAGGAUUAGAUACC
rnacentral:rRNA from 1 species